UACGUAGGGACCGAGCGUUGUCCGGAUUCAUUGGGCGUAAAGAGCUCGUAGGCGGCCACUCAAGUCGAAUGUGAAACCUCGAGGCUUAACCUCGAGCCUGCAUUCGAUACUGGGCGGCUAGAGUCUGGUAGGGGGAUCUGGAAUUCCUGGUGUAGCGGUGGAAUGCGCAGAUAUCAGGAGGAACACCGGUGGCGAAGGCGGGAUCCUGGGCCAGUACUGACGCUGAGGCACGAAAGCGUGGGGAGCAAACAGG
rnacentral:rRNA from 1 species